rnacentral:rRNA from 3 species
CAACUUUCAACAACGGAUCUCUUGGUUCUGGCAUCGAUGAAGAACGCAGCGAAAUGCGAUAAGUAGUGUGAAUUGCAGAAUUCAGUGAAUCAUCGAAUCUUUGAACGCACAUUGCGCCCCUUGGUAUUCCAUGGGGCAUACUUGUUCGAGCGUCAUUU